UACGUAGGGGGCUAGCGUUGUCCGGAUUUAUUGGGCGUAAAGAGCGUGUAGGCGGCCAGGUAGGUCUGCUGUGAAAACUGGAGGCUCAACCUCCAGCCUGCAGUGGGUACGGGCAGACUAGAGUGCGGUAGGGGAGAUUGGAAUUCCUGGUGUAGCGGUGGAAUGCGCAGAUAUCAGGAGGAACACCGAUGGCGAAGGCAGAUCUCUGGGCCGUAACUGACGCUGAGGAGCGAAAGCAUGGGGAGCGAACAGG
rnacentral:rRNA from 1 species